rfam:Echinococcus multilocularis genomic scaffold, pathogen_EmW_scaffold_07
UGACCUCGGAUCAGUUGUGGGUACCCGCCGAACUUAAGCAUAUCAAUAAGCGGAGGAGAAGAAACCGACCAGGAUUCCCUCAGUAACGGUGAGUGAAGAGGGAGAAGCCCAGUACCGAAGCCUGCGGCAGGUUUGUUGGUAGGCCAUAUGGUGUGUGGGUUGGCUGGCGGGACCGCCACUCCACUCCAAGUCCAGCAUUGAGUAUGGUUGUGAGUGAAUUUGGUCCACAGAGGGUGAUAGGCCCGUAGGAGUGGAGGCUCAGGCAGGUGAGGCGGUUCACCGGGCCGGCUCAGGAGUCGGGUUGUUUGAGAUUGUAGCCCAAAGUGGGUGGUAAACUCCAUCCAAGGCUAAAUACAGGCACGAGUCCGAUAGCGGACAAGUACCAUGAGGGAAAGUUGAAAAGUACUCUGAAGAGAGGGUAAAGAGUGCGUGAAACCGCGUGCAGGUAAGCGGCUGUUUAUCGGGGUGGGGCGUGGCUGCCGUAUUGCCUGCAAAAUGCGGGUUCGCCGGUGGUCCGUCGUCGCGUGUCACGGUGAGCGGCUUCGCGUUGCCUCGGGUGCAUGGGGUACCGGGGGUGGGAUAGUCCGUGGUGCGGUGGUAGACUUACCACCUGACCCGUCUUGAAACACGGACCAGGGAGUUUAACAUGUGUGCGAGUCAAAGGGUGUGCUCGAAACCCCGAAGCGUAGUGAAAGUGAAGCCUGCGUCGUACGCGCGCGGUGCGGUGCGGCGAGGUGAGAUCCUGCUGUUGGCGUGCGGCCGGCCAGGCCAGACCAGGCUAGUGCAGGCGACCUAUCGAGCAGUGGGCGCAUCACCAGCCCGUCCCAUCAUGUGGUCAUUGGUGUGCGUUGGCGUGGUCGCGUGUGCGUCUGCGUCAGCUAGCUAGCCAAUGCGUCAUCGGGGCGGAGCGCGAGCAUGCAUGUUGAGACCCGAAAGAUGGUGAACUAUGCUUGCGUAGGUUGAAGCCAGAGGAAACUCUGGUGGAGGACCGUAGCGAUUCUGGCGUGCAAAUCGAUCGUCAAACCGGGGUAUAGGGGCGAAAGACUAAUCGAACCGUCUAGUAGCUGGUUCCCUCCGAGGUGUCCCUCAGGAUAGCUGGCACUCAUUAGCAUAAUCAGUUUUAUCCGGUAAAGCAAAUGACUAGAGGUGCUGGGCUCGAAACGAGCUCAACCUAUUCUCAAACUUUAAAUGGGUGAGAUUUCCAACUCGCUUCAUACGCGUGUAUUGUUGCGGGUGGAGUUGGGCGUUGAAUGUGCGAGUGCCAAGUGGGCCAUUUUUGGUAAGCGGAACUGGCGUUGUGGGAUGAACCAAACGCCGGGUUAAGGUGCCUAACGCUGGCGCUCAUGAGAUACCACAAAAGGUGUUGGUUAAUAUAGACAGCAGGAAGGUGGCCAUGGAAGUCGGCAUCCGCUACGGAGUGUGUAACAACUCACCUGCUGAAUUGACCAGCCCUGAAAAUGGAUGGUGCUGGAGCGUCGGAGCUACACCGGGCCGUCAUCGCAAGCUGGAUUGGUGGCUGUGACAGCCGCUUGAGUGCGUGUGUUUGCGUCAUGGUCCAGGCGUGGAGUGCGAUGCUGAGUAGGAGGGUCGGCGUGGUGAGCGUGGAAGCCACAGACGUGAGUCGUGGUGGAGCCGCCACGGGUGCAGAUCUUGGUGGUAGUAGCAAGUAUUCAAGUGAGAAUCUUGAGGGCCGAGGUGGAGAAGGGUUCAAUGGGAACAGCAGUUGGCCAUGGGUCAGGCGGUCCUAAGUGAUUCGGUGACUCGGCGCAGAGUCGUGGGGUGCCUUGCAUGAGUGCGUACGUGCGUGCGCGCAUAGGUGUGGUGUAGUUUGUUGGCAGCCCUCCGGACCGAAAGGGAAUCGGGUUGACAUUCCCGACCCUACUCACGGAGAUGGGUGGUGUGGGUCGGUCGUUCGUUCGUUCGACGGGGGCGGCGCCAUCAGGCGCAGUAACGCAAACGAACUCGGAGACGUCGACAAGAGUUCCGGGGAGAGUUUUCUUUUCUUUGUAAGGACGGUUAUUACCCCUGGAAUCGGGUUGUCCGGAGAUAGGGGCAUCACCUCCGUAAAGCACCAGACCUCUCUUGCGGUGUCCGGAACGCUCUUGUAGGCCCUUGAAAAUCCGAGGAAGGCAGUAUUAUUUUCGUGGCAGGCCGUAACCAUAUCCGCAUCAGGUCUCCAAGGUGGAGAGCCUCUGGCACUGGAAUAAUGUAGGUAAGGGAAGUCGGCAUACUUGAUCCGUAACCUCGGGAAAAGGCUUGGCUCUGAGGGCUGAGUCAAACAGGCUAGGGAAAUAGACGAGCUCGCUCAGCUUGCAACUGGCCGGUGGGCUGGCAGGCUAGCCGUUGAGCCACACACGGUGUGGGGUAUGCAGUUGGACUCGCCCGCCUGGUGGCUGGAGGUGAGUAGGGUGAACCGUGGGCAGACCCAGCUGCAUGUGAGCCUCGGUUGAUUGGCUGGUUGGUUGGUUGCUGACGCUGAAGCUGCUGCUGCUGCCUGCUG